rnacentral:rRNA from 1 species
AGGACGAACGCUGGCGGCGUGCCUAACACAUGCAAGUCGAACGCGCUCCAUUCGGUAGCAAUACUGAUGAAGAGCGAGUGGCGAACGGGUGAGUAGCACGUGAGCAACCUGCCCCGAAGACCGGGACAACACCGGGAAACCGGUGCUAAUACCGGAUAUCCCUAUCGGACCGCAUGAUCUGAUAAGGAAAUGGAUUCCGCUUCGGGAGGGGCUCGCGGCCUAUCAGCUAGUUGGUGAGGUAACGGCCCACCAAGGCAUCGACGGGUAGCUGGUCUGAGAGGACGAUCAGCCACACUGGGACUGAGACACGGCCCAGACUCCUACGGGAGGCAGCAGUGGGGAAUCUUGCGCAAUGGGCGAAAGCCUGACGCAGCAACGCCGCGUGGAGGACGAAGGCUUUCUGAGUUGUAAACUCCUUUCAGCAGGGACGAUAGUGACGGUACCUGCAGAAGAAGCCCGGCAACUACGCGCCAGCAGCCG